UACAGGGGGGGCAAGCGUUGUUCGGAAUUACUGGGCGUAAAGGGUCUGUAGGUGGCCAACUAAGUCAGACGUGAAAUCCCUCAGCUUAACUGGGGAACUGCGUCUGAUACUGGAUGGCUUGAGUGUGGGAGAGGAAUGCGGAAUUCCAGGUGUAGCGGUGAAAUGCGUAGAUAUCUGGAGGAACACCGGUGGCGAAGGCGGUUCUCUGGGCCGAUACUGACGCUGAGGAGCGAAAGCGUGGGGAGCGAACAGG
rnacentral:rRNA from 1 species